ACGGAAGGCAGCAGUGGGGAAUAUUGCACAAUGGGCGAAAGCCUGAUGCAGCGACGCCGCGUGAGCGAUGAAGUAUUUCGGUAUGUAAAGCUCUAUCAGCAGGGAAGAUAAUGACGGUACCUGACUAAGAAGCACCGGCUAAAUACGUGCCAGCAGCCGCGGUAAUACGUAUGGUGCAAGCGUUAUCCGGAUUUACUGGGUGUAAAGGGAGCGUAGGCGGCAUGGCAAGUCUGAUGUGAAAACCCAGGGCUCAACCCUGGGAUUGCAUUGGAAACUGUCAAGCUAGAGUGUCGGAGGGGUAAGUGGAAUUCCCAGUGUAGCGGUGAAAUGCGUAGAUAUUGGGAGGAACACCAGUGGCGAAGGCGGCUUACUGGACGAUUACUGACGCUGAGGCUCGAAAGCGUGGGGAGCAAACAGGAUUAGAUACCCUGGUA
rnacentral:rRNA from 1 species